rnacentral:tRNA from 1 species
GCCUAAAUAGCUCAGUUGAGAGAGCGUCAGCCUAUAAAUCAAAAAGUCCCUGGUUCGAUUCUGGGUUUCGAGU